rnacentral:rRNA from 4 species
UUAAAUUGAAGAGUUUGAUCAUGGCUCAGAUUGAACGCUGGCGGCAGGCCUAACACAUGCAAGUCGAACGGUAACAGGAAGCAGCUUGCUGCUUCGCUGACGAGUGGCGGACGGGUGAGUAAUGUCUGGGAAACUGCCUGAUGGAGGGGGAUAACUACUGGAAACGGUGGCUAAUACCGCAUAACGUCGCAAGACCAAAGAGGGGGACCUUCGGGCCUCUUGCCAUCAGAUGUGCCCAGAUGGGAUUAGCUAGUUGGUGAGGUAACGGCUCACCAAGGCGACGAUCCCUAGCUGGUCUGAGAGGAUGACCAGCCACACUGGAACUGAGACACGGUCCAGACUCCUACGGGAGGCAGCAGUGGGGAAUAUUGCACAAUGGGCGCAAGCCUGAUGCAGCCAUGCCGCGUGUAUGAAGAAGGCCUUCGGGUUGUAAAGUACUUUCAGCGGGGAGGAAGGUGUUGUGGUUAAUAACCACAGCAAUUGACGUUACCCGCAGAAGAAGCACCGGCUAACUCCGUGCCAGCAGCCGCGGUAAUACGGAGGGUGCAAGCGUUAAUCGGAAUUACUGGGCGUAAAGCGCACGCAGGCGGUCUGUCAAGUCGGAUGUGAAAUCCCCGGGCUCAACCUGGGAACUGCAUUCGAAACUGGCAGGCUUGAGUCUUGUAGAGGGGGGUAGAAUUCCAGGUGUAGCGGUGAAAUGCGUAGAGAUCUGGAGGAAUACCGGUGGCGAAGGCGGCCCCCUGGACAAAGACUGACGCUCAGGUGCGAAAGCGUGGGGAGCAAACAGGAUUAGAUACCCUGGUAGUCCACGCCGUAAACGAUGUCUACUUGGAGGUUGUGCCCUUGAGGCGUGGCUUCCGGAGCUAACGCGUUAAGUAGACCGCCUGGGGAGUACGGCCGCAAGGUUAAAACUCAAAUGAAUUGACGGGGGCCCGCACAAGCGGUGGAGCAUGUGGUUUAAUUCGAUGCAACGCGAAGAACCUUACCUGGUCUUGACAUCCACAGAACUUUCCAGAGAUGGAUUGGUGCCUUCGGGAACUGUGAGACAGGUGCUGCAUGGCUGUCGUCAGCUCGUGUUGUGAAAUGUUGGGUUAAGUCCCGCAACGAGCGCAACCCUUAUCCUUUGUUGCCAGCGGUUAGGCCGGGAACUCAAAGGAGACUGCCAGUGAUAAACUGGAGGAAGGUGGGGAUGACGUCAAGUCAUCAUGGCCCUUACGACCAGGGCUACACACGUGCUACAAUGGCGCAUACAAAGAGAAGCGACCUCGCGAGAGCAAGCGGACCUCAUAAAGUGCGUCGUAGUCCGGAUUGGAGUCUGCAACUCGACUCCAUGAAGUCGGAAUCGCUAGUAAUCGUGGAUCAGAAUGCCACGGUGAAUACGUUCCCGGGCCUUGUACACACCGCCCGUCACACCAUGGGAGUGGGUUGCAAAAGAAGUAGGUAGCUUAACCUUCGGGAGGGCGCUUACCACUUUGUGAUUCAUGACUGGGGUGAAGUCGUAACAAGGUAACCGUAGGGGAACCUGCGGUUGGAUCACCUCCUUACCUUAAAGAAGC